CCUACGGGAGGCAGCAGUGGGGGAUAUUGGACAAUGGGGGGGAACCUUGACCCAGCGACGCCGCGUGAGUGAAGAAGUAUUUCGGUAUGUAAAGCUCUGUCAGCAGGGAAGAAAGCAAGGACGGUACCUGACCAAGAAGCGCCGGCUAACUACGUGCCAGCAGCCGCGGUAAUACGUAGGGGGCAAGCGUUAGCCGGAAUUACUGGGUGUAAGGGGAGCGUAGACGGCUGUGCAAGUCUGGAGUGAAAGGCGGGGGGCCAAACCCCGGACUGCUCUGGAAACUGUAUGGCUGGAGUGCGGGAGAGGUAAGCGGAAUUCGUAGUGUAGCGGUGAAAUGCGUAGAUAUCAGGCGGAACACCAGUGGCGAAGGCGGCUUACUGGACUGUAACUGACGUUGAGGCACGAAAGCGUGGGGAGCAAACAGGAUUAGAUACCCGAGUAGUC
rnacentral:rRNA from 1 species